AAUUGCAUCAUCCAAUGGCUUUGGGUCCUCCUCUAUAUUUAUAAUCUGAAGACGUUUCUGCUUCCACCACACUCAGAGACGCUCUUCUUCCGAGAGAAAGAGAGAGAGAGAUAGAGAAAGAGAAAGAGAGAGAAAGAGAGAGAGAAAGAGAGAAAGAGAGAGAGAGAAAAAGAGAAAGAAAGAGAGUUCUCUAAUGGCGGCGACGAGACCAAAGAAGGGAGAAUCCACUCUUCCUUCGUCGAGAUAAGUACUUUUGUGUGUGAGAGAGAGAGACAAAGAUAAGAGAUUUAAGGGCGACGAGACCAGAGAAGAGAGAUAUAGAGAGAGCCGUGUUUGUAAGGGCGACACGUAUAUGAACAAAGCAGAGUGUUUUUGAGUCUCGUCCGUGGAUGGUUUCAAGAAGACAGUGAUGGUCUUCGUCUAACCCUAAUCAAUCAAUUACGUCUUCCUUGUCACAGAGUUUGAAGAUGAUGAUGACGAUGAUGUAUUAUGACCCAACAAGCAACAGUAGUUUGAAGAUGAUGAUGACGAUGGUGUAUUAUGACCCAACAGGCAACAGUAGUGUUUGAAGAUUUAUCUCCGAGGAGUCUCGUUGAUGGUGGGAUUGCUCUCUUCUCUACUGGAUUGGUCCAUGUUUAUUUAUUCUCUACUGGAUUGGUCCAUGUUUAUUUA